GUGGUGGGCCCGGCCCGGACCCGCCGCGGGGAGCUGCUGUGCCGGGGGCCUGCGGGGCCGGGGCAGGCCGCGGGGGAGGGGGCCUGGCGGCUUUGCCAUCAAGGAGCCUGAGCCCGAGCCCGAGGCCGGCUCCUCACAGCGUGUCGGGAGGUGCCAGCCGGGUGGAAGGAAAGCGUCUUCCCUGUGAGGACGUGAUCCAAGCAAGCACUUUGAGUGGGGACCUGUCCAAACCUCCAGAUCUUGCUGUGGCUGUUUACAUCUGUUCUGUCAGUCUUCCUUCAAAUCUAUACUUCACUUACCGUCUCUCCUUCUGACUCCCAUCUCUUCACACAAUAGCUCAAAUUAGCAUGGUAUUUUUUUCCCAGUUUUCCCCACUUCUGGAUGAAAUAAAAGGUUUGUUCCUUCGAA